AUAUUUCUGGGGAUGGAAUUGUCGCAAUAAUGAGGAAAUCCCCUGUGGUUUAAUGGGCAGAGUCCCAAAGGUGCUUGACAUCCUGACCAGCACAAGGCAGCCCACCUCCUGCAGAAACUGUGAAAAAAAGGCAAGAAAAGUAUACCCAUAACUAAUUUGAGUGGUUGUAAUGUACACUGAAACAAAAAAGUCUUUUCAAUUUUUUUUUCUUUUUGAGAUGGAGUCUCACUCUGUCGCCCAGACUGGAGUACAGUGGCACGAUCUCGGCUCACUGCAACCUCUGCCUCCCAGGUUCAAGCUAUUCUCCUGCCUCAGCCUCCCUAGUAGCUGGGAUUACAGGUGUCUGUCACCAUACCAGCUAAUUUUUGUAUUUUUAGUAAGAUGAGGUUUCACCAUGUUGGCCAAGCUGGUCUCUAACUCCUGGCCUCAGGUGAUCUGCCCACCUUCCUGCACUAUGAGUGUCCGGGCAGUGGGGCUGUCCUGCCGAACCCCACACAGGGCCCCUCACCAGCAGGUCCUCUGAGCCCACCCUGGCACACAGUGGGCUCUUUUGGG
rnacentral:lncRNA from 1 species